rnacentral:rRNA from 1 species
UACGUAGGGUGCAAGCGUUAAUCGGAAUUACUGGGCGUAAAGCGUGCGCAGGCGGUUGUGCAAGGCCGAUGUGAAAUCCCCGGGCUUAACCUGGGAAUGGCAUUGGUGACUGCACGGCUAGAGUGUGUCAGAGGGGGGUAGAAUUCCACGUGUAGCAGUGAAAUGCGUAGAGAUGUGGAGGAACACCGGUGGCGAAGGCGGCCCCCUGGUUGGAUACUGACGCUGAGACGCGAAAGCGUGGGGAGCAAACAGG